CCUANGGGAGGCAGCAGUGGGGAAUCUUGCGCAAUGGACGAAAGUCUGACGCAGCCAUGCCGCGUGAAUGAUGAAGGUCUUAGGAUUGUAAAGUUCUUUAGCCUGUGACGAUGAUGACGGUAACAGGAGAAUAAGCCCCGGCUAACUUCGUGCCAGCAGCCGCGGUAAUACGAAGGGGGCUAGCGUUGUUCGGAAUUACUGGGCGUAAAGCGCGCGUAGGCGGUUAUGCAAGCCAGAGGUGAAAUGCCUGAGCUCAACUUAGGAAUUGCCUUUGGAACUGCAUGGCUUUGAGGACGAGAGAGGUGAGUGGAAUUCCCAGUGUAGAGGUGAAAUUCGUAGAUAUUGGGAAGAACACCGGUGGCGAAGGCGGCUCACUGGCUCGUUUCUGACGCUGUAGCGCGAAAGCGUGGGGAUCAAACAGGAUUAGAUACCCGUNUANUC
rnacentral:rRNA from 1 species